UACGUAGGGGGCAAGCGUUAUCCGGAUUUACUGGGUGUAAAGGGAGCGCAGGCGGUAUGGCAAGUCAGAUGUGAAAACCCAGGGCUCAACCCUGGGACUGCUUUUGAAACUGCCAAGCUAGAGUGUCGGAGAGGUAAGUGGAAUUCCUAGUGUAGCGGUGAAAUGCGUAGAUAUUAGGAGGAACACCAGUGGCGAAGGCGGCUUACUGGACGAUGACUGACGCUGAGGCUCGAAAGCGUGGGGAGCAAAAAGG
rnacentral:rRNA from 1 species